rnacentral:rRNA from 1 species
AACGAACGCUGGCGGCGUGGCUAAGACAUGCAAGUCGUACGGUAGGUUGUAGCAAUAUGGCCUAUAGUGGCGGACGGGUGAGUAAUGAAUAGGUAACGUACCCCGGGCGACAGGAAUAGCGUCGGGUCCCGCAAGGGAUCCUUUGCGAAAGUGACGGUAAUACCUGGUGACGUCCUUGAGUGGCAUCAUUCGAGGACCAUACGGUGGGGACCGUUCGGUCCGUACUCGGCCGUCGGGAGGCGGCCCGUACUUUU